rnacentral:rRNA from 1 species
GAUGAACGCUGGCGGCGUGCCUAAUACAUGCAAGUCGAGCGAACGGACGAGAAUCUUGCUUUUCUGAUGUUAGCGGCGGACGGGUGAGUAACACGUGGAUAACCUACCUAUAAGACUGGGAUAACUUCGGGAAACCGGAGCUAAUAUCGGAUAAUAUUUUGCACCGCAUGGUUCAAAAGUGAAAGACGGUCUUGCUGGCACUUAUAGAUGGAUCCGCGCUGCAUUAGCUAGUUGUUAAGGUAACGGCUUACCAAGGGAAGGAUGCAUAGCCGAACUGAGAGGGGGGUCGGCCACACUGGAGCUGGGCCACGGUCAAGACGCCUGAGAGAGGCACCAGUAGGGAACGUUACGCAGUGGGCGAAAGCAUGACGCAGCAAGCCCAAGCGAGUGACAGAGGUGUUGGGUGCGGAAAAACCUGUUAUUGGGGAUAAACAUAUGUCUAAGGAGAUGUGGAGAUAUUGACGGUAACUAAUAAGAAAGCAACGGCUAACUACGUG